rnacentral:rRNA from 1 species
GAUGAACGCUGGCGGCGUGCCUAAUACAUGCAAGUCGAGCGAACGGACGAGAAGCUUGCUUCUCUGAUGUUAGCGGCGGACGGGUGAGUAACACGUGGAUAACCUACCUAUAAGACUGGGAUAACUUCGGGAAACCGGAUCUAAUACCGGAGGAUAUUUUGAACCGCAUGGUUCAAAAGUGAAAGACGGUCUUGCUGUCACUUAUAGAUGGAUCCGCGCUGCAUUAGCUAGUUGGUAAGGUAACGGCUUACCAAGGCAACGAUGCAUAGCCGACCUGAGAGGGUGAUCGGCCACACUGGAACUGAGACACGGUCCAGACUCCUACGGGAGGCAGCAGUAGGGAAUCUUCCGCAAUGGGCGAAAGCCUGACGGAGCAACGCCGCGUGAGUGAUGAAGGUCUUCGGAUCGUAAAACUCUGUUAUUAGGGAAGAACAUAUGUGUAAGUAACUGUGCACAUCUUGGCGGUACCUAAUCAGAAAGCCACGGCUAACUACGUG